UGGAAAUGUCCCAAAACAUCUUGGAGUUUCUCAUCAAUAUAUGAGAGUGCAAUAUCAGGGUCAACAGUCGAAUCAUCACAAGUCUCUCCUUCUUCAAACUUAUUCUUAUUCAUCUCUGUUUUAACACCAAAUUCUUAAAUUAACCCCUUUCUUUCCAUCCCACUCCCUACAGAAAUCAUUCAACCAAAGCUGGAAUUUCAAGAAUUUUCAAACCUUCAAUCCCCUUUACUUCAACUACACCAAAUUACAAUAUGGAACAACAAAAACAAAAACUUGCUUCAGAACCAAAUCUAAUCGUAUAAAAAUGAAAUUUCAA
rnacentral:misc_RNA from 1 species